UUCAAGUGCAACUAGAUCAACGCAUACUCCUGGAUCAAAUGGAAAGUUCUUGAAUUCCUUACCUUGCAUAGGAUAAGAUUGAAAAGAGUAUAGUAUCAUCUCUCUUAGCCAAUAGAAGUGUUCUCCUUUUAGUUACAAAAACUUCAUUUUUGUUAAGGAUUAGUUGUAAAUAGAGUUCUAUUAGGAGUUAGAUUCCUAAUUAGUUUAUGAUUUGUAUUCCUAAAUAGCUAGGUAGCAUAGGAAUUCCUUAUAUAUAGACUUAUGUAAUCGAUUGAUGAGAUACA